rnacentral:lncRNA from 1 species
UCUCUCUUCCUUCAGAGCCCACCAGAGUCCAUCCCCAAGGCCUGCAUGGGCCUCGAGGCCAGGCUGGACAGGGGACCCCCACUCUGGCUCCUUGUGCAUCCCUCGCCCUGCCUGUGGGUCUUGGGGCCCUUUCCGAAGCUUGCUUCAGCUUCCACUUCCCUGGGAGUCUCCCUGAAUUUGCUGCUGCCCUCCCAGCUCUGAGCCAUAUCGGCAUUUCCCAUGGGACCUGGGAGAGCUGGCAGGGCGUGCUGGGAUCCCCUGAGGCAGAAGGCAUUUCUUGACCUGCAGCUGACUUCCAUGGCUUCCAUGAAUGUUUGCUGAGCACCUACUAUGUGCCAGUGUACUUUUUCUAAUAGGAUUUUCCUUAACAUUCCAAGUAAGGUUAGAAUUCUUAGUUUUUUAUAGAUGGAGCAAGAAGUCUGAAGUCACAGGGUUCAAGAGUGGUACAGUCUGGAUUCAAGCCCAGGGCCUAAUUUUGUCUUCAACUUGUACCAGAUCAGGUGAGUAGAUUCAGAGCAGAUCUGGGUGAGGUUAGGUAUGGAGCCCAAAUGCCCUGUUUCUC